GAUAUUAAGGUAACUUUUGUUUUUAAAUA
rnacentral:tRNA from 1 species